rnacentral:tRNA from 1 species
AUUAUAUUAGCAUAUUAGUGCAUUAAAUUUAGAAUUUAAUUAAAUUAUAAUUUAUUAUAAUAUAUAAUA